rnacentral:lncRNA from 1 species
AAGCUCAGAAGAGCAAUCAGCAGUUGAAGAAGAAGACUUACAUAAUUCACAUGGACAAAACAAAUAUGCCACAAGCCUUUGAUGAUCAUUUCCAAUGGUAUGAUUCUUCUUUGAAAUCAGUUUCUGAUUCUGCUCAAAUGCUUUAUUCCUACAACACCGUGAUUCAUGGCUUCUCCACAAGAUUGACUGUGGAGGAGGCUAAGUUAAUGGAAAAACAAGAGGGAAUUAUUGCUGUCAUACCUGAAAUGAAGUACGAGCUUCAUACCACUCGCACACCUGAGUUUCUUGGACUUGGGAAGAGUGUUUCUUUCUUCCCAGCGUCGGAGAAGGUCAGCGAAGUGAUCAUCGGAGUUCUUGACACCGGUGUAUGGCCUGAAUUGGAGAGUUUCAGUGAUGCUGGGCUUGGACCAAUACCUGCAAGUUGGAAAGGGGAGUGUGAAGUAGGUAAAAACUUCACUUCUUCUAAUUGCAACAGGAAAUUGAUAGGAGCAAGGUACUUUUCCAAGGGCUAUGAAGCAGCAUUUGGGCCAAUUGAUGAAUCCCAGGAGUCGAAAUCCCCAAGGGACGACGAUGGCCACGGUUCUCACACAUCAACAACUGCUGCAGGAUCCGCUGUUACAGGUGCUAACCUCUUUGGUUUUGCUGCCGGGACUGCAAGAGGAAUGGCGGCUGAAGCUCGAGUUGCAACGUAUAAGGUAUGUUGGCUUGGAGGGUGUUUCAGCAGUGACAUUUUAGCUGCAAUGGAUAAGUCUGUUGAGGAUGGUUGCAAUAUUCUAUC